AGUACCCUGACUGUGCUAAGGUAGCAUAAUCAAUUGGCCUUUAAUUGAGGUCUAGAAUGAAUGGAUCAACGGAAGUGAUCUGUCUCCUUCAGAGUCUGUUGAAGUUACUUUAAGGGUGAAAAAGCCUUUAGUACGAAAAUAGACGAGAAGACCCUAAGAGUUUUAGUAAAGGCUUUUACUUUUUUUUUUUGCUGGGGCGGCAAAAAAACAAUUUCUUGCUUGUGUUUAAAGUCAACGCGAAAUUUUAUGAAAAACCAAUAAACUACCUUAGGGAUAACAGCAUAAUUAUUUAAUGUUUGUGACCUCGAUGUUGGACUAGGAAAUUUAUGGCUAGCCGCCAAAAGUAUUAGUUCUGUUCGAAC
rnacentral:rRNA from 1 species